rnacentral:rRNA from 1 species
CCUACGGGAGGCAGCAGUGGGGAAUAUUGCGCAAUGGGCGAAAGCCUGACGCAGCGACGCCGCGUGAGGGAUGACGGCCUUCGGGUUGUAAACCUCUUUCAGCUCUGACGAAGCGAGAGUGACGGUAGGAGCAGAAGAAGCACCGGCCAACUACGUGCCAGCAGCCGCGGUAAUACGUAGGGUGCAAGCGUUGUCCGGAAUUAUUGGGCGUAAAGAGCUCGUAGGCGGUCUGUCGCGUCGAAUGUGAAAACCCGGGGCUCAACCCCGGGCCUGCAUUCGAUACGGGCAGACUAGAGUUCGGUAGGGGAGUCUGGAAUUCCUGGUGUAGCGGUGAAAUGCGCAGAUAUCAGGAGGAACACCGGUGGCGAAGGCGGGACUCUGGGCCGAUACUGACGCUGAGGAGCGAAAGCGUGGGGAGCGAACAGGAUUAGAUACCCUGGUAGUCCACGCCGUAAACGUUGGGCGCUAGGUGUGGGGGUCCUUCCACGACCUCCGUGCCGCNGCUACGCAUAGCGCCCGCCGUCGGGAGGUACGGCCGGCGACGGACGUAAACCGUUAAACGGUAAAGUUAGUAACGGUCGUGAGACGUGCCGAACGGACGACGACGAGGGAGGAGG